UAGUGACUGUCCACAGGGUACAUAUACAACCCGGGGUAUACAAAAGAAUAGGUACAAUGGUGGUUUCUCUAUACAUAGGGACAUCACCCUCGGCCGUAGUCCGAGUAGCAAGGUGAUCGACUAGCAUGCUCCUAGCAAUGUCUAGCUAGACGCGACUCCCUUGCCACGAUCCCUAGCCUCUCCUGUAGAUGGCUCUGUAAAAAAUAUCAAUAAAAAGGGCGUGAGAACUAUUAACAAUAGUUCCCAGUGGAUAAGCCGCC
rnacentral:lncRNA from 1 species